UGGGGAAUAUUGCACAAUGGGCGCAAGCCUGAUGCAGCCAUGCCGCGUGUAUGAAGAAGGCCUUCGGGUUGUAAAGUACUUUCAGCGGGGAGGAAGGGAGUAAAGUUAAUACCUUUGCUCAUUGACGUUACCCGCAGAAGAAGCACCGGCUAACUCCGUGCCAGCAGCCGCGGUAAUACGGAGGGUGCAAGCGUUAAUCGGAAUUACUGGGCGUAAAGCGCCCGCAGGCGGUUUGUUAAGUCAGAUGUGAAAUCCCCGGGCUCAACCUGGGAACUGCAUCUGAUACUGGCAAGCUUGAGUCUCGUAGAGGGGGGUAGAAUUCCAGGUGUAGCGGUGAAAUGCGUAGAGAUCUGGAGGAAUACCGGUGGCGAAGGCGGCCCCCUGGACGAAGACUGACGCUCAGGUGCGAAAGCGUGGGGAGCAAACA
rnacentral:rRNA from 1 species